GACGAACGCUGGCGGCGUGCUUAACACAUGCAAGUCGAACGGAAAGGCCCUGCUUUUGUGGGGUGCUCGAGUGGCGAACGGGUGAGUAACACGUGAGUAACCUGCCCUUGACUUUGGGAUAACUUCAGGAAACUGGGGCUAAUACCGGAUAGGAGCUCCUGCUGCAUGGUGGGGGUUGGAAAGUUUCGGCGGUUGGGGAUGGACUCGCGGCUUAUCAGCUUGUUGGUGGGGUAGUGGCUUACCAAGGCUUUGACGGGUAGCCGGCCUGAGAGGGUGACCGGCCACAUUGGGACUGAGAUACGGCCCAGGCUGCUACGGGAGGCAGCAGUGGGGAAUAUUGCACAAUGGGCGGAAGCCUGAUGCAGCAACGCAGCGUGCGGGAUGACGGCCUUCGGGUUGUAAACCGCUUUCGCCUGUGACGAAGCGUGAGUGACGGUAAUGGGUAAAGAAGCACCGGCUAACUACGUG
rnacentral:rRNA from 1 species